rnacentral:rRNA from 1 species
UACGGAAGGCAGCAGUGGGGAAUAUUGCACAAUGGGCGCAAGCCUGAUGCAGCCAUGCCGCGUGUAUGAAGAAGGCCUUCGGGUUGUAAAGUACUUUCAGUCGUGAGGAAGGUGUUAAGGUUAAUAACCUUAGCAAUUGACGUUAGCGACAGAAGAAGCACCGGCUAACUCCGUGCCAGCAGCCGCGGUAAUACGGAGGGUGCGAGCGUUAAUCGGAAUUACUGGGCGUAAAGGGCACGCAGGCGGUUAAUUAAGUUGGAUGUGAAAUCCCCGGGCUUAACCUGGGAAUGGCAUUCAAGACUGGUUAGCUAGAGUCUUGUAGAGGGGGUAGAAUUCCAUGUGUAGCGGUGAAAUGCGUAGAGAUGUGGAGGAAUACCGGGUGGCGAAGGCGGCCCCUGGGACAAAGACUGAUGCUCAUGUGCGAAAGCGUGGGGAGCAAACGAGGAUUAGGAUACC